ACGAUAACGGCGUCGAGCGGCGGACGGGUGAGUAAUGCCUAGGAAAUUGCCCUGAUGUGGGGGAUAACCAUUGGAAACGAUGGCUAAUACCGCAUGAUGCCUACGGGCCAAAGAGGGGGACCUUCGGGCCUCUCGCGUCAGGAUAUGCCUAGGUGGGAUUAGCUAGUUGGUGAGGUAAGGGCUCACCAAGGCGACGAUCCCUAGCUGGUCUGAGAGGAUGA
rnacentral:rRNA from 1 species